UUUUGCAUGCUUGCUUUUUCCUCUACAAAUCCUGCAGACAUUGUAAGAUUUAUUAUACAAUCUCUGGAAUCUUUAACAGAUAAUGGGGAGGUGUCGACUCUGAUGUCCACGGCCAGAAUUUUCUCCACUUCUCAUGCGAUACAUCAUCUGCAUGAGCAACAGCCUUCACACUUAGAUCACCCGAGUCCAAGCCUGACAUGUGCAUUAAAUUAACAGAUCUCCCUGCAUCCCCAUCGCCUCACCGAUUGUCGGGGGCGCUUCCUUAGAAGACACCCCCUGCAAAACC